rfam:Ciona savignyi cont_29099, whole genome shotgun sequence.
GUCAGGAUGGCCGAGUGGUCUAAGGCGCCAGACUCAAGAACCGAGGUUCUUCGCCGACAUGAGGUGUUGAGUAUUCUGGUCUCCGAAUGGAGGCGUGGGUUCCAAUCCCAUUUCUGACA